rnacentral:lncRNA from 1 species
CUUACCCUCUCCUUAGUGGCCCGGGCCGAAAAUCCUGGACACGGGAUUCUGAUGAUCAUAGAGGAAGGAAGUUUUCCUAAGGAAAUUGCUAGCUGAUGCAGAGGAAGACCAACCAGCAACUAUCCAUGCAUAAGUCACCACUGUGAACAUCCCAGAACCUGAGGGUGAGGUGGAAGCACCUCCCUUGACCAUAAAGACUGAGAAGGACCACAUUAGAAGGGCAGACAGCUAGACGACACGUCUCAGUUUCCUUUGCAGUCUGUGUGGUCACGUGACUGAAUUCUCAGCAAUGGAAUGUUUGCAUAUGAAGAAGGAAUCUGCAUUUGUAAGCACCUGGGAGAUAUGAGCAGGAUAUAGAGAGAACAGACAUUAAGAAAUAUUGGUCCAACGAUACAUUACAUUAAGAAAUGUACCAUCUGAGAGACUACCGCACAACAAUGGAGACCUAGGAUAUCAGUGAGGUAGUGCCAGAAGAAGUAGCAUGGGUGAUUUCAGUCAUAAAAACCUCUUCUUUUU